rnacentral:rRNA from 1 species
GACAGCCAGGAUGUUGGCUUAGAAGCAGCCAUCAUUUAAAGAAAGCGUAAUAGCUCACUGGUCGAGUCGGCCUGCGCGGAAGAUGUAACGGGGCUAAACCAUGCACCGAAGCUGCGGCAGCGACGCUGAUGCGUUGUUGGGUAGGGGAGCGUUCUGUAAGCCUGUGAAGGUGUACUGUGAGGUAUGCUGGAGGUAUCAGAAGUGCGAAUGCUGACAUAAGUAACGAUAAAGCGGGUGAAAAGCCCGCUCGCCGGA